rnacentral:rRNA from 1 species
GGGGGUAAACGGGUGGAGUCCUAAAGGUCGAAAGAGGGGAUUCAGUAUCCAGUCCGGGGUCGCCUUUCGGGGUGGCCACGGGCCCUCGGCGGAGUCUCGUGCGCGGGUGGGGGAGCGCACUUCCCCUCGAGUAGGACGCCGCGACCCGUUGGGUGUCGGUCUAAGGCCCGGGUGCGAGCCCGUUCCGCGGCUUGCCGUGGGGCGGAGCCCCGGUGUCCCGGCCGACUGCUUGACGGUCGAACGUGAGGAAAAGGCCCGCGGGAUAACUCUCGCGCUCGUGCCUCCUGCAAGCGUUUUGUCGAACUCGUUGUACGGACUCGUCCGUCGCGGGCCGGCUGGCGCUGUUGGCGGGGGGAUUUCUCGAGCAGCGGCCUGCUCCUGUUCGCGGCGCUCAAAACUGGGCGACCCACCCGACCCGUCUUGAAACACGGACCAAGGAGUCUAACAUGUGCGCGAGUCAUUGGGUACCACUACACCCAAGGGCGUAUUGAACGAAAAGGCCGGCCUUGCGCCGGCUGAGGGAAGAUGGAGGCCCGCUCGCGGGCCUCCCGCAUUCCCGGGGCGUCUCGUCCUACCUCCGCUUGUCGGUCGAAGGUGAGGCGCACCAAGAGCGCACACGUUGGGACCCGAAAGAUGGUGAACUAUGCCUGGCCAGGACGAAGUCAGGGGAAACCCUGAUGGAGGUCCGUAGCGAUUCUGACGUGCAAAU